AACGAACGCUGGCGGCAGGCCUAACACAUGCAAGUCGAGCGGACCUUUCGGGGUCAGCGGCGGACGGGUGAGUAACGCGUGGGAAUAUGCCCUUCUCUACGGAAUAGUCCUGGGAAACUGGGGGUAAUACCGUAUACGCCCUUUGGGGGAAAGAUUUAUCGGGGAAGGAUUAGCCCGCGUUGGAUUAGGUAGUUGGUGGGGUAAUGGCCUACCAAGCCGACGAUCCAUAGCUGGUUUGAGAGGAUGAUCAGCCACACUGGGACUGCGACACGGCCCAGACUCCUACGGGAAGCAGCAGUGGGGAAUCUUAGACAAUGGGGGCAACCCUGAUCUAGCCAUGCCGCGUGAGUGAUGAAGGCCUUAGGGUUGUAAAGCUCUUUCAGCUGGGAAGAUAAUGACGGUACCAGCAGAAGAAGCCCCGGCUAACUCCGUG
rnacentral:rRNA from 1 species